CGGGGCGGGAGGGCGCUGCCUGCUCUCCGUCUCCGCCCUCGGGGAGGGGGAGCGCGGUGCCGGGGCGAGCAGCGGGUGAUGGGGAAGAGGCGAGCGCAGUGCUGAGGUCCUCUGGGGCCGGAUGAGCCGAGGCUUGGCGCCGCGGCGGUGGCGGGGCUGGAGGAGGGGGCGAAGGAGGCUGUAGGGGCGGCCUCCGCUCCGGCUGCCCUGAGGGGAAGGAGCCCCCGACCAUGGAAAUCGAGAACAUCGUGGCCAACACGGUGCUGCUGAAAGCCCGGGAGGGCAAACGGAGUGGGCGUAGUAAAAAAUGGAAAGAAAUGCUGAAGUUGCCCCCUGUCAGUCACUGUGAGGGUAUUCGGUGCUCCAUCGAAAGAGACUAUAACCAGCUUUGUGACAAACAGCCAAUAGGAAGACUUCUCUUCAGACAGUUCUGUGAUUCUAGACCAGAUUUGAAAAGAUGCAUUGAAUUUCUGGAUGCAGUGGCAGAAUAUGAGGUAUCUUCAGAUGAAAAGCGCAUAGACUGUGGCCUCAAAGUUUUAGAGACGUACUUCACUAAUGGGUCUGCAGCACAUUUGCCAGAAAUACCUCAGGAAACAGUAAAUGAAUGUAAAGCAAGACUGGAAAAGAACCCUUCUAAGGAUCUUUUCAUGGACUGUACUAGAAUUGUCCAUGAAUACCUAAGCAAAACACCUUUUGAAGCUUACCAGGAGAGUGUGUAUUUUUCCCGUUUCUUACAGUGGAAAUGGCUGGAAAAGCAACCAGUAACCAAACACACAUUUAGGCAUUACCGAGUCCUAGGCAAAGGUGGAUUUGGAGAGGUGUGUGCCUGUCAAGUACGGGCAACAGGAAAAAUGUAUGCUUGCAAAAAGCUAGAAAAAAAGAGAAUAAAGAAGAGGAAAGGAGAAUCAAUGGCUCUAAAUGAAAAAAGGAUUCUAGAAAAAGUGAAUAGUAGGUUUGUAGUUAGUUUAUCCUAUACAUAUGAGACAAAAGAUGCCCUGUGUUUAGUGUUAACCAUAAUGAAUGGAGGGGAUCUGAAGUUUCACAUAUAUAACAUGGGAAAUCCUGGCUUUGAUGAAGAAAGGGCUAUUUUCUAUGCUGCAGAACUGUGCUGUGGUCUGGAGGAUUUGCAAAGGGAGAGAAUUGUUUACAGAGACUUGAAGCCUGAGAAUAUACUUCUUGAUGACUGUGGACACAUCAGGAUUUCAGAUCUUGGAUUAGCUGUGCAGAUUCCAGAAGGUGAAACUGUCCGAGGACGUGUUGGGACUGUUGGUUACAUGGCUCCAGAAGUGCUCAAAAAUGAGAAGUAUACAUUCAGCCCAGAUUGGUGGGGCCUUGGCUGUUUGAUUUAUGAGAUGAUUGAAGGACAGUCUCCGUUCAGGAAGCAUAAGGAAAGAGUUAAACGCGAUGAGAUUGACCGCAGAGUAAAGGAAGACCAGGAAACAUACUCAGACAAGUUUUCAGAGGAGGCAAAAUCCAUCUGCAGGAUGUUACUUGCUAAAAAUCCCGGAGAACGACUUGGUUGCACUGAAGGAGGAGCUGCUGUUGUAAAGCAGCAUCCUAUUUUCAAGAACAUCAACUUCAAGAGGCUGGAAGCUAACAUGUUAGAACCUCCAUUCUUGCCAGAUGUAAGUAGCCACGUGCUGUUUAUUGUAAAGAUGUCCUGGACAUUGAGCAGUUCUCCACAGUGAAAGGAGUGAACCUGGAUACCACAGAUGAUGACUUCUAUUCCAAAUUUGUGACGGGUUGUGUCUCAAUCCCUUGGCAAAAUGAGAUGAUUGAAACAGGAUGCUUUGAAGAUAUCAAUGCAUAUGAAACUGAUGGUACUGUGUCACCAGACAGAGAGAAGUCUCCUAAGCCAAAGAGAGGCUUCUUUCACAGACUUUUUAGUGGAGAGGUCUGCUUUAAGUCUGAUUGCAGUGAUGAUGAGCAGGAGUCCUCCAGACUUUAAAUCAUUUUAUGCUCAUCAGAAAGGAUGAGCAAGCAUUAAAUGUUUUAUAUCUCUGUAGCAAAUUGUAUUAUAUAUAUUUUUUAUCUGAGUUCAAGGAUUUUUGUACAUUUGUACUUCAUUUGUUUUAAGAUGUAUAUUUUCACUAAAGCUUAAUUGUACAAAAAGCAAUGAGUGCCAUUUGAGUGAGUGUGUUUCUGUAUGUAUUUGAUUUAUCUUGAUUAUUUUUUUCCCAGUGGAAUGAAUCUAGAAAUACUAAAAGGAUUUUAAAGCACAGAGAUAGUAUCUAUGGCAUCACUGUAACUUGACUUUGUAUGCUCCUGGUAAAAUUCUUCUUGAUAGCAGUUUUCUUAACGGUAAAAUUGAUGUACUGAUAAAUUUAAUAAUUCUGGUAUUAUCCAGCAGCAUGGCAGUGCUAUUACCUAAUGUAUCUCUCAAGCAACUGCUAAGAGAAAAAAAGGAAUUCAAUGCACUGUGGCCAGCUAUUAGGAAUUGCUCUUUAUUAUCAGGCUCUGUAGAAUCUCUUUCUGUAUUUCUGUAUAAAGAGAACUUUGAACAUUUAGCUUAAUCCUCAAGCUGAAGUAUCCCAUUCUUCUCUUUCCUACCCAUCUUACACAUCCUCUCCACAGAGUUUCUUGGCAUGAACCAUGCAAGUCGACCUAUGCCAAAAUUUUAUAACUAUAUUUUGAAAACUUUGUUGUCUUUACUGACAGGAUUUCUUUUUACCUGUGGAGACACAGUUUUAUUUUAUUUUCUGUAAAUGAAAUUGUAUUUAACUCCAUGUAGGAUGUUGUGGUUUUAUAAUGGGUUAAAAAACAAAGCAUGGGCUCUUCUUACUAAUGUCCUCUCUGCUUAUGUUGUAAUAUGCAAUGUUCUAGGGUUGACAGUGAUCACUGCCACUGGGGGAAGGGCAAGGUAGCAUUAAGUCUUGAAUUUAAUUAUGUAAGUAUUUUUUAUAGCCUUUUAAAACAGAAACAUUAAAAUAUGUUUUUAAUGAUUGCUUAAUACUAUGUACAACUGGUAUUGAAGUUCGUUAUGAUUACCUGAUGUCCAUUAGUAAAACUGACAAAAGCUGCUUGAAAGCUAGGCAAACUUCCAUUCUUCUGGACUCACUGUAGGUCAGACCCUAUAUUUUGUAAACUUCUAGUAAAACUUCAUCUGGGUAUGAGAGUCAAUUUGAAGAACACAUUUCAUUAAGAGACUCUUCUGUUUUCAAAAUUGAGUUAGAUACUUGAAAUAUAAUGGAGUUGGAGACAUGAUUUUAGUUUCAUAUUUUGUUCUGUAUUCUGAAGAUUUGUCUCACUCUGUACAUGCAUUCAGAUCUCUGGGGCACCAACUGGACCACACAUGUAUUGUACACACAGAGCAACUGAACAGCACCCCCACCUCAAAAAGGUCUCUCUUGUGAUCUGCAGACCCACUGGAAGAAACUUCAGCUGCUUCUGAGAAACUCACAAGAUAUAUUUGAUAUUCGAGCCCAUCAUCAGGUUUCAAUUCAUGGUAUUUGGUCUCUAAAGACAAAGCUUUAGUGGAUUAGAAUUUGAAAAAAUUGGAAAACCAGUGUGUUGCAGAGCCCUACUGGGGCUCAUCUGGUGUGUCUCUGAAAUUGUUCCUCUUGGCUACUGUGCCACAGAAAUGAGGAAUGAGCCUAUUUUCCUGUGUUUUCAGUGCAUUUUUCCUCCAGUCUAAAACAGCACACAAGACAGCAAAAUUACUCUUUUAGAGAGUACAAAGGGAGAAAUUGGCAGAGAGAGAGAGAGUUUGAAUGAAUUACUGGAAAAUGGUCUGAUGUAAUAGUGAAGGGAUGGGAGGCUUGACAGAAAUAUCUGAAGUAAGGGUGUUGGCUAGAGCCAUUAUGUGUGAGACAAUGAGCUGGCAGUCAGACCUGACCCUCUUUAUUUUGUACCACAGCAAUAGAAGAACUCUAAAAAGAGGGGAAUGGAAUAGGGGAAGCAACAGAAGGGUUUUAUAAAUACCUACAUGGUUGGAGAAGCCAUUGUUUCCCUGAUUAAGGGGUUUGAAUUUUUAAGAUCUUAGGCUUGCUGUUCUGAGACAAAGGUGACUGUUUUUAAUUUAAUGUCUCUGUAGAGUAACUUGAAAUUUGGGCAAGAAUACCACAGACACAGGGUGAAUAAUUUUUAUGAAGAAAAUUAGUUUUAACAGAUAAAAAAAAAUCUGAAAGUCUAUUUAUCAUGCAUUUCAAGUUUUCUUUCUGUACAGGAUGGAGAGGAAUCUUAACUUAAAAAAAUAAAAAUCACUUCUCUGUUUUGGAGUGUUGAGGCUUAACAUAUAUUUUCCAGGAAUCUGUGAAGAAAGAGGGCUAAAUGAAGAGAAAAGAGAAAUUGUUCCUAAGAAGUGGUUAUUUUCAUAUCUGCUUCUUUGGAAAAAGGAACUCCUUGUAAAAAAGUGAGAAUUUGUUUGUUUUUAUGAAGUUUUACUUAGUUUAAUUCCAAAAGUUUUUUCUUAAGUUCAGAAUAGUACUAUUGAAUUGUUUUGAGUGAGUACAUGUUUGCAGGAUUAUGACCUAAUUCCAUUGGAUUUGGGGUUUGUUUUUAUUUUUUGGCUAGUUGAUUGGUUCUUCCCCAAUAGGCUCAAGAUGGCAUUAUUGUUCUAUAAAUUUGUCCCUUUUGGCUAGAAAUACAAGCAUGUAGUAAUGACUGGAUCUUAUCUGAUGUGAAUCCCCAUGAAAAUUAAUAAAACCAAGGAACUGGAAGGAUCACCAAUCAGCAUAAGUGUCCUUACACAGUACAUGGAGGGGAAAUGUUAUGCUGUUUAAUCUAAGGUGACUACAUUGGUGAAAGGCCUUUACUGGAGAUAAGCUUGGAGGUGCAUCUUGAGAGCAGGGAAGGGGUAAGGAGAGGGGAGAACACCUGAAAACAAAUUAUCACAAUGUGAGAAAUUUAAUAUGAACUUAGCUCUUGAUUUUUUUUAGGACAUAAGUGGGACAAAGAAGGGGGGAAACAGCAGGUUGUGUUUACUGAUUAUGUAGCCUUUUACUUCCAUGAAACUGUUGGGGUGGGAUGGGGGAAGCCAAAAUAACUUCUUGUAAUUCAGUGUGACUUCACUCUCUAGACCCAUGUGUUAGAAGGCUUAAUUAGCAGUGAGACCAUCCAAUGUUCUACUAGUGCAAGAUUUGGAAAGACCUAUGGAAUUCCACGGAGUUAUUUGCAUGAGAUUAACCCUCCUUUCCUGUGGUGUGUGUUUCCAAGCAUUUGUGUAUGUAAACCUUCGUGUUUGCUUGUGAGUAUCUCAAACCUCUCUAUUUAGCUCAAAAUUCAGAAACUGUGAAACAAUGUACCAGUGUCUUAUUGGUUUACUUAAUGCUUUUCAAUGUUGUGACCAGAAGAAAAGAAUCUUCAUGCCUCAGGGUUGUUUUUUCUAUUAAGAAAGCUGUCAGCUUCUCCCUGCCCCCUGAGGUGUGUUCAUAACAGAGAUGGUGUUGUUUCUGGGUUAUAAAAACAACAGAACAGUCUCAGCUGAAUAAAGGAGCACUUAAUACUAAUAGUAAGUAGAAAAAAACCCCUGUGGUAUGUCUGUAACAAGAGUGUUAUUGACAAACCUUAGCCUUUAACAUCUCUUGUCUCUUUUUUUUUUUCCCAAAUCAUUCUUAAAACAGUAGUCCUAAAUGCUUUUGAGUAUGAAAGAGAAUUAUCUCCAAAUCAGAAUAAAAUUGUCUGGUUUAUAAAUCAGUGAUAAAAGCAAUUAAAACCAACUAACAAUCCAUUCUUAGAAUGCACUUCAAUUUUUUUUCAAACUACACUGAUGUAAGAAUUUCUUCAUUGUCAUUUGUAUGAACGGAGAAUACUUGUUUACAAGUUACUAAAAUAUGACAACAAAAGUAAUACUUUUCUAGGGUUUACACUUUAGCCUUAUAUAAAUUUAACAUUGGAGUUAUCAUCUUCAUUUUAGUAUAGGUUUUCAGAAAACACUUCUCUUUAGGAAGUGAAAUUCGAAUUAUUGGAAAGCACCUUUAAGCUGAAGUCAUAUUUACUUUGAUUUUAAUUACUCACUUGGCUUAUUUGGUGAUGAUGAUGUGUUUUCUGUUGAAUGAAACAUUCUUUUUUAUUUCAUAAUUGCAGUGUAACUUAAAUUUUGCACAUGACAUGUAGGUAACUUUUUUCCAUGAUUCAGAUGUGUCCAAAACACCAGAAUUCUUUCCAGGCAUAGGAAGCUGACUGUUAAAUGUGAUGUGUUAUUUCCAGCAUCUCCAAACCACUGACUGUUCUUCUGUGAGCUGUUUUCCUGGACAUUCUAGCAUUGUAAUUCCUGAAAUAAAAGCAAAACACUGCCACAUAUCUCAACCACA